AUUGAACGCUGGCGGCAUGCCUUACACAUGCAAGUCGAACGGCAGCACGGGAGCUUGCUCCUGGUGGCGAGUGGCGAACGGGUGAGUAAUGCAUCGGAACGUGCCCUGAAGUGGGGGAUAACGUAGCGAAAGUUACGCUAAUACCGCAUAUUCUGUGAGCAGGAAAGCAGGGGAUCUUCGGACCUUGCGCUUUUGGAGCGGCCGAUGUCGGAUUAGCUAGUUGGUGGGGUAAAGGCCCACCAAGGCGACGAUCCGUAGCGGGUCUGAGAGGAUGAUCCGCCACACUGGAACUGAGACACGGUCCAGACUCCUACGGGAGGCAGCAGUGGGGAAUUUUGGACAAUGGGCGCAAGCCUGAUCCAGCCAUGCCGCGUGAGUGAAGAA
rnacentral:rRNA from 1 species